rnacentral:rRNA from 1 species
AAAUUGAAGAGUUUGAUCAUGGCUCAGAUUGAACGCUGGCGGCAGGCCUAACACAUGCAAGUCGAACGGUAACAGGAAGCAGCUUGCUGCUUUGCUGACGAGUGGCGGACGGGUGAGUAAUGUCUGGGAAACUGCCUGAUGGAGGGGGAUAACUACUGGAAACGGUGGCUAAUACCGCAUAACGUCGCAAGACCAAAGAGGGGGACCUUCGGGCCUCUUGCCAUCAGAUGUGCCCAGAUGGGAUUAGCUUGUUGGUGAGGUAACGGCUCACCAAGGCGACGAUCCCUAGCUGGUCUGAGAGGAUGAGCAGCCACACUGGAACUGAGACACGGUCCAGACUCCUACGGGAGGCAGCAGUGGGGAAUAUUGCACAAUGGGCGCAAGCCUGAUGCAGCCAUGCCGCGUGUAUGAAGAAGGCCUUCGGGUUGUAAAGUACUUUCAGCGGGGAGGAAGGUGUUGUGGUUAAUAACCGCAGCAAUUGACGUUACCCGCAGAAGAAGCACCGGCUAACUCCGUGCCAGCAGCCGCGGUAAUACGGAGGGUGCAAGCGUUAAUCGGAAUUACUGGGCGUAAAGCGCACGCAGGCGGUCUGUCAAGUCGGAUGUGAAAUCCCCGGGCUCAACCUGGGAACUGCAUUCGAAACUGGCAGGCUUGAGUCUUGUAGAGGGGGGUAGAAUUCCAGGUGUAGCGGUGAAAUGCGUAGAGAUCUGGAGGAAUACCGGUGGCGAAGGCGGCCCCCUGGACAAAGACUGACGCUCAGGUGCGAAAGCGUGGGGAGCAAACAGGAUUAGAUACCCUGGUAGUCCACGCCGUAAACGAUGUCUACUUGGAGGUUGUGCCCUUGAGGCGUGGCUUCCGGAGCUAACGCGUUAAGUAGACCGCCUGGGGAGUACGGCCGCAAGGUUAAAACUCAAAUGAAUUGACGGGGGCCCGCACAAGCGGUGGAGCAUGUGGUUUAAUUCGAUGCAACGCGAAGAACCUUACCUGGUCUUGACAUCCACAGAAGAAUCCAGAGAUGGAUUUGUGCCUUCGGGAACUGUGAGACAGGUGCUGCAUGGCUGUCGUCAGCUCGUGUUGUGAAAUGUUGGGUUAAGUCCCGCAACGAGCGCAACCCUUAUCCUUUGUUGCCAGCGGUUAGGCCGGGAACUCAAAGGAGACUGCCAGUGAUAAACUGGAGGAAGGUGGGGAUGACGUCAAGUCAUCAUGGCCCUUACGACCAGGGCUACACACGUGCUACAAUGGCGCAUACAAAGAGAAGCGACCUCGCGAGAGCAAGCGGACCUCAUAAAGUGCGUCGUAGUCCGGAUUGGAGUCUGCAACUCGACUCCAUGAAGUCGGAAUCGCUAGUAAUCGUGGAUCAGAAUGCCACGGUGAAUACGUUCCCGGGCCUUGUACACACCGCCCGUCACACCAUGGGAGUGGGUUGCAAAAGAAGUAGGUAGCUUAACCUUCGGGAGGGCGCUUACCACUUUGUGAUUCAUGACUGGGGUGAAGUCGUAACAAGGUAACCGUAGGGGAACCUGCGGUUGGA